UAGCAGUGCGUCUGCCAGUCAGAAGUGAGCGUUGUGAGAGUCAGUGUGGAAGGUGUUAAGUGAACGUCAUGGUGGCCAGGUGUUUUAAUUAACGGUGCUACUUGUACAUUGUGGAUCUAUGUGUUAAAUAUUGGUGCUCGCAAUGGAAAUCCGGAAUUAUGUCGUUAGUGUGACAGGCCGAUGAAUGUCCAUCUAUCGUUGUAGAAUUACUACACAGUAAAAACUAUAAUGGGUGCAACAAUAGCCCACCCUGACUAGUCGUAGGAUGACUGGAUGAACAGACAAACACCUACAGUCAUAUUGGACGAUGUCUUGCUGUGAAGCCUGAAUCAACACGCCAUAACUGUGUCAACAAAUGAAAUAUGCCUCCUGCUCCUGUCCUUGAGCGUAACUUGUGGCGUGUUGCUGACCGAGGCGCAUAUUCUGACUGCCCACGGCUUCGGCUUUUCCUGAUCUGAGAUUGGACCAGGCUGAGCACUGUUAUAUAUGAAAAAGACAGCAUCACCCAGCACAGUAUCAGAUUGGUGCGACUCUUGGCUCGUACACGGCUCUCUUGGCCUGAUAGUCGGGUGUACACUUCACUACCAGGCUUAGGGAAACUGCACCAAGAAGCUGGGCAAAAUUGGAAGAAUUUUUACAAUGAAUCGUAGCAGAAAGUUGCAAAUGAGUUAUUUCACAUGCGAAAUAAUGAAAACAAUUUUGACAUUAAUGGUGCACAGCAACUUACGUGAAUUACAUCUAUUUUCAUAUAUCACAGUUGAUUAAGAUUCAAGCAUGGAAGGUACUCGUAAAUUUGUGGGCUGUAAAUAAUCAGAGGUAAGAGGAAGGUUGCAGUCCCUAGCAGUAGCGAGCUGACUUGUACUGCAUGAGAACUUAUCUUGUGAACGCUGUCUCUGUUCUUAUACUCUUAGCUGCGUCCUAAUUUCCUGUGCUAAAUAGUUUAUCUUCGGCGGCGCUGAAGUGGCUGUACAACCCAUUAUUUCUCUUGCUUGUUGUUUAGAGGGAGCGUCUAUGGAGAAGAAUCCCUGCGAUAGGCAAAGGUCUUUACGUCUAAUAGAGCACACUUCUCUUGUAUAUACCUUUUAAAACUUGUCUUAGUUUAUCAGUGGGUGAUUUCCGUUCACGUCCAGUUGCAGAGAGCAUGAACGAAAAAAGAUGCAGCCCAGUUUUAUGAUGCAAUAAUUACUGUUACAAUUACUUAUUAAUCUAAAUGUUGUUAAAAUUGCAUUUACUAAAAAUGAAAUUAAUUGCCUUCAGCUUCAAUUACAAUUACUCCAAGCCUCACAUGACAGCUUCUUCUCUAAUUGAAACACUGAAUUCUACCAUAGUCUUUUAUUUCCUUGUCGGUUUAACACCCUCUUCCCCACCCCUCAAUAAGUUCAUUAUAAGGUAAUAAAGAGGCAAGAAUAUACUAAAUAUUUUACUAAUUCAACUUUGUCAUUAA